UGGAUUUCAAGUAAUCAAGCAAUCAAAGGUGGUGAGCAUUCUGGCAAAAGUAAAGAAAUAGUACCCGAGGAUCAAGAAUCGAAGUACUCAAAAUUUGACUCCCAAAAUAGCUCAAGAUAGUCGGUAAAUAGCUCAUUUCGUUGUGGG
rnacentral:sRNA from 1 species